rnacentral:lncRNA from 1 species
GAUUUGAUCGAGGAGCGCGGUUACCGGACGGGCUGGGUCUAUGGUCGCUCCGCGGGCCGCUCCGCCGGCUGGUGCUUUUUUAUCAGGGCAAGCUGUGUUCCAUGGCAGGGAACUUUUGGCAGAGCUCCCACUAUUUGCAAUGGAUUUUGGAUAAACAAGAUCUGUUGAAGGAGCGCCAAAAGGAUUUAAAGUUUCUCUCAGAGGAAGAAUAUUGGAAGUUACAAAUAUUUUUUACAAAUGUUAUCCAAGCAUUAGGUGAACAUCUUAAAUUAAGACAACAAGUUAUUGCCACUGCUACGGUAUAUUUCAAGAGAUUCUAUGCCAGGUAUUCUCUGAAAAGUAUAGAUCCUGUAUUAAUGGCUCCUACAUGUGUGUUUUUGGCAUCCAAAGUAGAGGAAUUUGGAGUAGUUUCAAAUACAAGAUUGAUUGCUGCUGCUACUUCUGUAUUAAAAACUAGAUUUUCAUAUGCCUUUCCAAAGGAAUUUCCUUAUAGGAUGAAUCAUAUAUUAGAAUGUGAAUUCUAUCUGUUAGAACUAAUGGCUAAUAAGAGGUUUCAGUGUGUUGCAGAUGUGACACUUU